GGCGGACGGGUGAGUAAUGCCUAGGAAUCUGCCUGGUAGUGGGGGAUAACGUUCGGAAACGGACGCUAAUACCGCGUACGUCCUACGGGAGAAAGCAGGGGACCUUCGGGCCUUGCGCUAUCAGAUGAGCCUAGGUCGGAUUAGCUUGUUGGUGAGGUAAUGGCUCACCAAGGCAACGAUCCGUAACUGGUCUGAGAGGAUGAUCAGUCACACUGGAACUGAGACACGGUCCAGACUCCUACGGGAGGCAGCAGUGGGGAAUAUUGGACAAUGGGGGAAACCCUGAUCCAGCCAUGCCGCGUGUGUGAAGAAGGUCUUAGGAUUGUAAAGCACUUUAAGUUGGGAGGAAGGGUUGCAGCCUAAUACGCUGUAAUCUUGACGUUACCGACAGAAUAAGCACCGGCUAACUCUGUGCCAGCAGCCGCGGUAAUACAGAGGGUGCAAGCGUUAAUCGGAAUUACUGGGCGUAAAGCGCGC
rnacentral:rRNA from 1 species